UGCAAGUCGAACGAGAAAGCGUUCUUCGGAACGUGAGUACAGUGGCGGACGGGUGAGUAACACGUGGGGAACCUGCCCUCAAGCUGGGAACAACCCGCCUAACGGCGGGCUAAUACCGAAUGUGGUUGUCAGUCCGCAUGGAAUGACAAUUAAAGGUGGCCUCUCCUUGGAAGCUACCGCUUGUGGAUGGCCCCGCGCUCAAUUAGCUAGUUGGUAGGGUAACGGCCUACCAAGGCGACGAUUGAUAGCCGACCUGAGAGGGUGACCGGCCACACUGGGAUUGAGAUAAGGCCCAGUCUCCUACGGGAGCCAGCAGUCUAGAAAUUUGGGCAAUGGGCGAAAGCCUGACCCAGCGACGCCGCGUGGGGGAUGAAGCUUCUCGGAGUGUAAACCCCUGUUAGGUGGGACGAAAGCCCGUAUACGAACAGUAGGCGGGUUUGACGGUACCACCAGAGGAAGCUCCGGCUAACUCCGUGCCAGCAGCCGCGGUAAUACGGGGGGAGCAAGCGUUGUUCGGAGUUAUUGGGCGUAAAGGGCGUACAGGCGGUGGUGUCAGUCAGAUGUGAAAUCCCCCGGCUCAACCGGGGACCUGCAUUUGAUACUGCAUCACUUGAGUACAGGAGAGGAGAGCGGAAUUUUCGGUGUAGCGGUGGAAUGUGUAGAUAUCGAAAAGAACACCAGUGGCGAAGGCGGCUCUCUGGCCUGAUACUGACGCUGACGCGCGAAAGCCAGGGGAGCAAACAGGAUUAGAUACCCUGGUAGUCCUGGCUGUAAACGUUGGGCACUAGGUGUUGGAGGUAUCGACCCCUUCAGUGCCGAAGCUAACGCAUUAAGUGCCCCGCCUGGGGAGUACGGCCGCAAGGCUGA
rnacentral:rRNA from 1 species